rnacentral:misc_RNA from 1 species
AUUUUAUUUCGGUUUGAACGGUCAGGUGCGUGGCGAUUCAGAGUUACCUCCCUUUGGUAUAGUCGAUCAGCUGAGGCCAUUUUGGAAGGGACGGAAAGAAAAACGAGUCUCAAUUUCAGGUACUGUAAGGAGUGCUCCCAGCAGUUGUGUUAAUGUGGCUGUGUGCGGGCCAGUAUGCCAGAACACUUGAUGGAGAGCAACACGAUGAGGCCGGUCCAGCUAGAGCCGUUUGACCAUCAGGUCGGCGGCCAUCACUCCAUGUUACGCUUCAAUGAGGACACGCUAUGCAAGCCCCUCAUUCCCCGGGAACAACUCUUCUAUGAAACGCUGCCCGAGGAACUGAAGGAGUUCACACCACAGUAUAGAGGUAUGAUUGAGGUGAAGCUCCACGAGGACAGUGAUGGAUACAUCAAGCUGAUUGGCUACCCACUACAGAAGAACCAAAAUCACCGCAACUCCUGUUCCCCCACGUCCAGUGAGAGUGACUCGGAGAUGUCAGGAGCCGCUGUAUCAAUACCCUUGUCAAACAGACUGGAACAAACUAAAAGCAGCAUGAAGCUGCUGCGUAGCGGGAGUAUCGAGGUCAGCACCAGGACGGACAAGACCUACUUCACACCCGACGUCGGCAGUGGCGGCAAGGCUCGCAACAACAAGGCCUCUCUGAAUCCCUGGAGCCUGAAAUGCCACAAGGAGCAGGUGGCUCGCAUGAGGCAGGACCGACAUGACCCAGAUCAGUCCAAAUUUAUCCUACUUGAGAACGUAGCAGCACAUUUCAGGUACCCAUGUAUCUUGGAUCUGAAAAUGGGGCCACGGCAGCAUGGGGACGAUGCCACUGCGGAAAAACGGGAAACUCAGGUCAAGAAGUGUGCAGCAACUACAUCUGUGUCGCUUGGACUACGAAUGUGUGGAAUGCAGGUGUACCAGCAGACAACAGGCAUCUAUGUUACCCGGGACAAGUUCUUCGGUCGGACUUUGAUGGUGGACACCUUCAAGGACACGCUAUAUCAGUUCCUACAUAAUGGACAUGCGUUGCGAACAUGUGUCAUUCAGCCCAUCGUCCAGCGUCUAGAAAAACUGUACUUGCAGCUAAUGAAACAGCAGACAUUCCGGUUCUACUCCAGCUCUCUCCUCAUCAUGUAUGGAGGAGAGGAGGAGGAGACAAUAUCCCAGGAUUCCAGCGAGGAGAACGCCAAUGGUGAUUCCCCAAGCUGGCAGGAAAACAGCCAUCCAGUCAUUGAAAUCAAAAUGAUUGAUUUUGCACAUGCUACUCGCAAAGGAUUCUGGGAUGACGAGGUGGUGCACAAAGGCCCCGACUCUGGUUACUUGUUUGGUCUGAAGAAUCUGAUUCAGUUCUUGAAAGACAUACAGGAAAAGUAUGGUAAUGAAGACUCGUCCUAGCCUUAUAACAUUAUGUUUCAUGCCAUCCCCUCAUCGACGUUCUGUCAGCGUCUGUGAUCUGUAAAAAUAAUUCCUUUUUAGGAAUAUGUACAAUCUCAAAAUCAGAUCUUAGUUCUCGCUACCGCUAAACAAAUUUCUGAGGACAUCCCAAUACAGGUAAUGUCAUAAUGACCUUACAUCCUACCGAAAAGAGCGUUGCUUUGACUGACCUAUGAAAUGACUAACAUUAGCCAAUCAGAAAGCAGCUUACUUGGGUACUUCCCACGUGCUAUGCAACAUCUCUUUCGUUCAAAUGUUUAUCCUAUUGAAGUGAAAGAUAGAUGAUUUUGACAUGAUCGGUCGUACAAGCCGUAACUGUUGUUUGAAUACCCCAUGCUAACCUUCUUGAGGUUUUAAGAUUAGAAAACACUUCCCACUGUCACUUUCGCGAUCUGGUAAGCGACGCUCUGAUUGGUCGGAUGAAAGUUCAUUCUGAUGUGACCCUUAAUGGGAUGUCCUCAGAUCUUUGUUUAGUGGAAGCAAGAACUAGGAUCUGAUUAUGAUGAGAUUGGGAAUAUGUACUUUGUGUUCAUAAUGAACAGCGUCAUAAUACUACAUCCUGUGGGAUGGAAGUGAAGUGUGUUGCCUUAUUUCAGCUGCCUAAGAGGAGAUGUGUCCCUCACCCUCCUAUGUGUCAAAGUGUCGUAGAUCAGACAGCCGUCGUGGUUGAAUCACAUUCCAUGAGUGUUGCAUGAUCGGCCAUGUUCAGACAUAUUCCAUCUAGAUACCAACUGUCGUCUGUCUUUUGUUAUUUGGUUGCAAAUUUUCAAUUGAGGCCUGAGUCAUAUACAGUUGAUUUUGGACAUCACAAAGUUUGAUAUACAUGAGGUAGCGGUUAUUGGUUUAAUAAUGAUACCAUCUGUCAUCUGUACUACUAAAAAAUGGUUAAGGACCACCUGAUGUUUUCUAGUCUGUCAUGGCACAGAAAAGAUGGGUGUGGGAUGGUCAAAUUUUACCAUUUGGCAGAGGGAGGGGGGGGGUGGGUGGUGUUGGGGAUGAACACAUGUUAAAUAAAAUGGGGGUGAGGGGCGACAAAAUAUGAUACAGUCCUAAGACCAAUCCCACAUCCCCCCCAUCAAAAAUGACCUGGCCUAAAUAUGAAAGAAUCACGUGGUCCUUUAGUUCUUUUGAGUAGUAUAUGUUGUUUUUCAGCAUUGACAUAUGAUUACAUACUUAAAUGUUUAGUGUCCAUGUUUUAAGUUGGAGAUUUAGUCAUAUACAAUGUAUACAGUCAAUUUUUGACAAGACAGUAAUAUAUAGCGGAUAUUGGUAUAUUCAUAGUACCAUCUCGUAUCUGUCUUUUUGUUGAUCAGCAUAGGAAUAUGGUUACAUACUUUGAUGUUUCGUGUCCGAAUUUUAAGUUGUUAAUUAUAUAACAUAUUAUACAGUCAGUUUGGGACAUCGCAAAGAUGAAAUGAAUAUUGGUUUAUGAAGCUAAUUCUAAUCACCAGCAUUUGUGAUUUAUUUUUUUGUUUAUGUCAAUAAGGAACUUUGACGUAUCAGAUUUCAAGGGUCACUUGAGGUUGCAUCCAUUGUUGACUUUUACUUAAUGAAAUUGAUAAUUGAAAUAUUUCUUACUGCAGACUUCAUGUCGUGAAAAGAAGUGUUUGUACCUUGUUACAUAACACAGUCUGUGACACUGUUGCAACGUUUUUGACACGUGUGUCACACAUUUCUGUCCUCUGAAACGCCAUUUUAGUAUUUUCCUGAUAAGUUGUUGACUGUAAGUACAGUUUUAUGUACAAUGUUGUGACGAAUGAUUGCCCUGUUGUGUCGUGGUUGAGGCAGGAAAUGUGUCACGGAAUGAGUCACGGAUCGUGUUACAGGUCACAGAAUGUGUCGCGGAAUGAGUCGUGAAAUGUGUCGCGGAAUGAGUCACGGAUUGUGUUACUAUGUCACAGAAUGUGUCGUGGAAUGUGUCGCGGAAUGAGUAACGAAAUAUGUCACGGAAUGAGUCACAGAUCGUGUUACUAUGUCACAGAAUGUGUCGCAGAAUGAGUCACAGAUUGUGUUACUAUGUCACAGAAUGUAUUGUGGAAUGUGUUGCGGAAUGAAUCACGGAUUGUGUUACUAUGUCACAGAAUGUGUUGGGAAUGUGUCACAGAAUAUGUCACACUUGACCCAGGGUAUUUCUUGAUGUCCAUACACAGUUGAGGCUGUCUGACCAUGAAGCUUUAAUGGUUGAGCGACUCCAUCAAGUGUGAUUCACAUGCUACAAAUAUGGUCAUGUCAUAAUUGGCUGUACUACUGGAACACACUCAGCAGUCCAGUUAGUGAUGUGGUUUAGACACAUGUAUGUAUAUGUACAGUCUAACAUGUUAUAAUGCCAUGCUUUGCCUCAUCAUGUAUUGCCAGAACAAUUUCAGGGAUAGCUUUUCCUCUACCAUGCACCUUGACCAUGUUUGCAACCCCCAUUGUUACAAUAAACCCAUUAUGAGCCAUCCUCCUCCUGUCAUGCCCGUUAUAAUGCCAUGGUCAUUGUCAUGUUGUCAUAUGCAUCCUAAUCUCAUACUCAAUAUUAUGCCAUGACAUGGUCCUCAGCUACUAGACAAAUAGUGAAAUUAGAGAAAGAUUUGACCUAGUAAGGUUGUGUUGUUGAAUAUGCUAGAUUGUGCCUAUUUUGAUAUUCAAGACACUUUAAAACAGAAUAGUAGCAUGAUAUAUCUAUGUGAGGGCCGAGAAAGAUUUUAAGGUCGGGCAUUUCAAGAGUUCCAGAUAAUAGUAAUGGAACACAUAUCCAAGAACAGUUCUCUUUUGUUAUGUACUUAUUUAUCUCCCUUAUCAAUAUCUAGAAUUGUCUUCCUUGUUGUUAACCUUGAAUUAUCUCGGGGGCGGUCAGGUAGCCUAGUGGUUAAAGCGUUCGCUCGUCACGCCGAUUCCCCGACAUGGGUACAAUGUGUGAAGCCCAUUUCUGGUGUCCCCUGCCGUAAUAUUGCUGGAAUAUUGCUAAAAGCGGCUUAAAACCAUACUCAUUUGAAUUAUCUCCCUUAAUCAUGUCCUGAAUUACUUCCCUUUUUGAUAUCCAGAGUUAUCUUCUUGAAAUCAUGAGUUAUCUCCUUUAUUGAUUUCCUGAAUUAUUUCCAUUUAUGCUAACCUGAGUGAUCUCCCUUUCUGAUGUCCUAAAUUGACUAGUGCAUAUUUAAAUGUACAGUCAAGUCUUGUUAAUCCGACAAUCAGGUUUAUCUGACACUAAUGAUGGGAACAGAUUCAAUCAAUGCUAUUUAGACUCAUUAAUCCGACACAGUGAUCAGCAUACUCUGUGGUUAUCUGCCCGUGAGUAUUCAGUCAGUGGUUUGAUGCGAGACGAGUCAGCUGGUAGCUGCAUAUUACAAAGCUGCAGAGAUAGACUUUCCUUAACAAUAAUUAAUUGAUGCUUUAAAUAAGGAAAACAGUAUUAAUCACAUGCUUAGAUUCAAUCUCAUUAAAAUCAGAUACAAGUAUUCUCGCUAUCGCCGGGGACAUCCCAUUACAGGUCACGUCAGAAGAACCUUUCGUGAACUAUGACCGACGAACGUUGGUACUACUUAAUUUCAUUUAUCCGGCAUAAUCCUAUGCAACCAGCCAUGUCGGAUCAACGGGACUUGACUGUAUGUACACCUGCUUGUUGUACCAGUUCUAUCUGCACGCCUUUGUUCGUAAGGACUUCCAUCAUCUUGAUACUAUUGACCUGAUUAAAAAGUUCCUGAUUCUUUCAGAGGUUACAGUGGGUUACAGAUACACUGGAAACUGCCAUUAGGUAGGAGAUUGGAAAUGAUGAGACAUACACCAUACAAUAGUAUCAUUUGGAAAAUGUGGGUGACAAAGGGUUCUUGGGCUUGUUUUCAUCAUGAAAUUUUGAUUGUUUGUUGUUGUAAACAAAUACGUGUUGUUGUAUCAUGUACAUUGACCUUGAUGUGGUGUGGGAGAUAGGUCAAACUAUUUGUCAGUCACACAUAGCAAUAAUAGGGCAAGGGAACCAGUUUAUCAUGAAUUAUACAUUGCAGGUUUGGGACUGACCUUUCCAUAAUCUGAAAGCGUCCUGGAUUUUUGUAAGGAAACAAGAGUACCUCUUAGGGUCAUACAUUUUGUUUCUUAAAGGAAAGAAACAAUUUUUAUUUUUUCCACAGCACAGACUCUCAGGACACAUGGCAUGUCCAGCUAACAAUUUCUGUAAAACCUGAGGCAUUAUUUUCGGGAACCAAUUAUUUUUUUUCAAAAAAUUGCAGAAUGUCAAAUGAUUGGACUCUUAUCCUGCUUAUGGUAUUGCAUUAGUAGAUCAUUAACAUUGUACAUGGUGAUCAGGUAUAUCAGUGUGAAGGUACUAUGUAGGAUUGGAAAACUGAAACUGGAAUAUGACCUCCAGCACUGUGCUUGACUGUCCAGUCAGUUAUAUCUUAAUUACAUUAUGAUGAACUCCCAGGCCCAUUCGGUGCCAGAGCUUGGUUUGGAGUCCAGUUCAAUUAACAUACCUGUCGAGUCAGAUUAGACUGGUCUGAAACAAAUGAUAUCACAGUAACUUGUCUCACUUUGUCGUUCCGUCUCCAAUACAACUGGGUACCCCUGGCAACACCUGGUAGCAGAAGGACUUUUUUCUGAUCUGAUCUUGUAGCUCACAAAAAUGUUUGAUGAAUUGCUCUGUUUUCAAAGCCAUCAAGAUGUAGAUGGAGACAAAGCAGCUGUAUCUUUAGUGCACACGGACUAAGUCAACAUAAUGGGUUACAGAAGAUCUUUGAAAUGUUAUAAAGGAAAAUAUUCUCCCCAUCCAUCAAGGGGCUCUUGUUGUAAUACUUAAAACAUAUUCAUUGGAUUGCCAGAUACAGAUACUUUAGCUCACGCCUCAGACAUGUUAGAGCAUCCUAUUGAUGUAGACCCCUGUAUGUAUACUUAUACUUAUCUCUCUUACCCAUUCUACACAAUAGUUGAUGUAGCACUUCUAUUCAGGUCUGGGAUAUUCACAUGACUUAAUCUGCACAAAAUGUCUCAUUUCUCAAUCUUGAAGGUUUUGUAGGUUAUAUUAAACUGUUACUGGAAAUGUUCUUCCUGAAAACUUGUGAAGUGUGACAUUAUCUGAAUGCAUAUAAAGUGCUCUGUCAUUGUGUGUGUGCAUUGUGAGAUGUGAUGUUUGGCUCUUGCGAGUGUAUCAUAUGAUGGUGUGUGUUUGAAUAGGAUGCAUGUUCUGUGUGUGUGUGUGUGUGAGUGAGAGAGAGAUAGUGUGUGUGUGUGUGAGAGAGAGUGAUAAUGUGUGUUUGAGAGAGAGUGAUUGUGUGUGUGUGUGUGUGUGUGUGUGUGUGUGUGUGUGUGUGUGUGUGUGUGUGUGUGUGUGUGUGUGUGUGUGUGCGUUUGAGAAAAAUGUGUGUUACUCUCUGUGUGAUAGUGUGUGUUUUGGGAUAUGUGUGAUAGCGUGUGUUUGAGAAGGAUGUGUGUUACUCUCAGUGUGUGAUAGUGUGUGUUUAAGGAUAUGUGUGAUAGUGUGUUUUUGAGAAGGAUGUGUGUUACUCUCAGUGUGUGAUAGUGUGUGUUUAAGGAUAUGUGUGAUAGUGUGUUUUUGAGAAGGAUGUGUGUUACUCUCAGUGUGUGAUAGUGUGUGUUUAAGGAUAUGUGUGAUAGUGUGUUUUUGAGAAGGAUGUUUGUUACUCUCAGUGUGUGAUAGUGUGUUUUUGAGAAGGAAAUGUGUUGCUCUGGAAAGGUGCGUGCGUGUGUGCGUGCGUGAUGUGACAACAUGUCUGUGAGAGGAAGUGAUGCUGUCAGUGUAUGGGUCUGUAUUGUGUGGUGAUGUGUGUAUGUUGCUAUGAGAUUGUUGGUGUGUUCGCAAGGAUCUAUGUGUGCACGGGUAGGUAAAAAUGUGUGGUAUCAUCUUGACUGUAUAUAACGAGCAACUCACUCUGUAGGUACGUGCAAUAUGCAGCGGAAUAUAGAGCUGCCAACAUACAGUUUACACAGGGUCAGCAUGACACGCUAAAUGAGAAAACUGACCCGCCCUCACCCCAGGCUGACAAUAGUCGGACAUCUGGCACUCUGACAGACCUGGAGUCCUAUACAACUGUUCAUUUCUGACAUGUAAUUAUUACGGAGACCUCAAUGUGUGGUUGCUAUGGUGAUGUAUCGUUAGUCUUCUUGUAGUGUUGCCCAGAAAUGGUAUUACAUGGCAAUAACUUCCUUAUGUUGUCCAUGUGGUCACAGAUGUUGGUGAAAUUAUUUUCUGUAGUCCUCAAUGAGAAUUGUGACAAUUGUUCCAUUGUUUACAUUGUUUCUGAAGAGCCCCAUAGCAACAUGAUGUCAUCCAUAUUUCAUGUUGUCAUGACAGUUAUAUUUGAUGUUGUUCCAACAGUAGAGUAACCAUGGUGACAGAGCUGAUAUCUCCAUCUGACAUCAGGAAACAUACAUUUUUAUACAUUUUCUCAGAAAAGGACCAUUGGUUAUAUAAAAAUAACCUUUUCACCACUAAUUAUUUUCCUUGUGAAUUAAGUUCAAAAUUUCUUCACUUGCGACAGAUAAUCUGUAAUUCUAAUAGCUCAAUGCCGAGAAGGCAAGACAUGUUCAAGUGUGGACACCAUUGCAGUUAGCCUUGGUAGUCCUGGGCCCUGUUUCAUUAAACUCGUGUAACAUUUGUAGCCCCUUAAUAUUGACAAGGUUUUUCGACUAAGGUCUAUGAUCAUUAUCAUAGCUAGGGGGAACUUUCCGGCCAUGGAAAGGCAUGCUGUAUGUCAUGUUAUAAAACAGGAAAGCCAGCGAUCUAAUGAUUUACAACUGUUUGGGAGGUAAAUGCUACAUGUUUUUGUCGUAACUUAAUGCUUUUGGUUUAUAUUGUUAAAAGUCUCAUGGAAUGGAGAGUAAGCCUUACAAGAAUGUUACAGUGAAAGUUAAGAGACGUCAGGCUUACGAGACAUUCAUGAGUUUAGGCCUGAUGCUAGUGAUAUCAUGCUUCAUUUCGGAUUUAUUGUUAGGCAUUGCCAAGAAAAGAUUCCUAAAUUGACAAUCAGAUGGAGGUCAAGGCCAUCUAUGAGACAUGUGCUAAACCCAACUCACUCACUCACUCACUCACCCACUCCGUGCUAUGGCCUGUAUUCAUUGAGUGAAGGUGUGCAAUCAAAUCCGAUGUUGAUCUUGCAAAGGGAAGUGGCUGACAUAUAUUUUAAUCAAGAAGAAUGCUGUCAUCUCUUUUUCACAUGGAAGGUGGUCAGUCCCACCCCUAGUUGGCCAUCCCCAUCCCCAGUUCCCUGCUGGCUGUGGGGAGUGUAAACAUAUUGUUACAGGAGAUUUAAAAUAUAAUCAUGUCAUUUUACUGUUAAAAUAUUGAAUAUGGGUUUGUAUCAUUAAAGAAGAGUACCCACAACGUCAAUCGUGAUUAUCAUGAAACAUUGACAUGCAUUAUGGAGACUCCCACCAGUCUAUGAUAUGUUCAUAACCCUCUUGCAGAAAGUCUGCAUAGUGCAAAGACUAUUGGUUCUGGACCAAGGGCUGUUGAAAGUCGUGUUAAGUAAUGGUGUCAGCAAUUUUUGUUUGUGAAACAGGGCUUAGGCCAUUCAUUGUUGUUGAGGUUUAAACUAGUUUUGUGUCGAAUUGAGAUGCUUGUGUCUAUGUACAUGACCUCAUUUGGGUAAUUAUUUUUUUUCAAGAUCAUAACUCUUGACUUAGGACAUUGAAGAACAUGAUCCAAACUUAGCUAUUACCUCUUUAAGGCUACAGGUGGGGAAGGCCUUUGCUUGAAGGUACCAUGGGAUAUGCUGGCUGGAUCCAUUGCUGGGGAAGGCCUUUGCUUGAAGGUACCAUGGGAUAUGUUGGCUGGAUCCAUUGCUGGGGAAGGCCUUUGCUUGAAGGUACCAUGGGAUAUGUUGGCUGGAUCCAUUGCUGGGGAAGGCCUUUGCUUGAAGGUACCAUGGGAUAUUUUGUCACCUUGUUGAGAUAGCGCCAUUGUCCUUGUCAUAACUGAAUGCAAAAUUAAUGAAGAAUUGUAAAUGUGUAAAGUUUUGAUACGAUUGUAUAGUGACACUCCUAGUGUGUAUAACUGCUAGUAUUUUGUGUAUGUAUAUAUCCAUUGUCUGGAAAACUAGUUAUUAUCUGUGACAUUAUGUCCAGGAUAUAUACAAUGUCUGUGACCUUAAUUAUUGACUCGAGCUGAACCACUAUCUGUGAGAUUCCAGUGGAAUAGAGUAUUAUAAGCUGAAGUCAGUACUCUAAAUUUGAAACAAUGGUUUAAGGUUUUGAUUGCACAUUUUAUUUCAGCUAUGGUCACAUAAUCUCCGUGAAGUAAUAAGGUGUAUAAUUUUUAACUUUUGAUAGAGAAGUUUGUUUAACGUUUUCGUGCAUUCUCAAUUGAGGAUGGAGAUGAAGGGGAUGUGCACUGGGAUGACUGCAUCAUUGGUUAGUGUUGACCUGAUUACAGUUCACAAUCUUUUGAAGGUAUUCCAAGUACUGUAAAUCCUCAAACAGCUCGCAGGACCUAGCCAUACUUUACAAACCUUUACUCUUGACCUCUUGGGGGCAGUCGGUUAGCCUAGUGGUUAAAGUGUUAGCUCAACACACCAAAGACCCGGGGUUCGAAUCCUGACAUGGAUACAAUGUGUGGAGCCCAUUUCUGGUGUUCCCCGCCGUGAUAUUGCUGGAAUGUUGCUAAAAGUGGCGUACUCACACACUCUUGACUUGUUACCAAAGUUUCACCAGAGUGGUAAAUGUCUAGGACCUCUUCGCCUUGUGAUUUAACUGAAGUUCUUUUCAAAAUUACAUUAAACCAAAUUUGCACACACUUUACUUGUUACCUUAAUGAGAAAGUUCCAGACCGUUGCCAUUUUAAGCAUUAAGCUGACACUACGUGAUAUCUCUGUAAUCCUAAAAGUGGCGUUAAACCCAAGUCACUUACUCACUCAGUAUAACUGCAGUUUAAGAUCAGGGGGCGGUCGGGUAGCCUAGUGAUUAAAGUGUUCGCUCGUCACGCCGAAGACCUUGUUCGAUUCCCUUCAUGGGUACAAUGUGGGAAGCCAAUUUCUGGUGUCCCCCGCCAUGAUAUUGCUGGAAUAUUGCUAAAAGCGGCGUAAAACCAUACUCACUCACUCACUCACUCACUAUGGCUUCUCUGAUCAUUAAUCACAGGUUUAUGGUAUGUAGGAUACAGUUAGUAUUGGUAUUCACAAAAUGGUUAGUAGACCUACUACCUAUCCACACAAUGGGACAAAUUAAUGUCCCAUUAUGAUUUGUGCUGGAACAUAUUUGCAUGUAUUAUUGAUUAUUCAUUUAAGACGGAUGUUUGUCCGUGUUUGUUAAUGUGAUUUUCAUAUGCCAUAUGUAGAUGAUCUCUAUGUCAUAUUGGACUCGCAUUAUAACAUUAUCUAGGUUCUUUUCAUGAAUUAUUCAUGAUUAUAUGAUUGAAACAGCAUCACUGUUAAUAUUGGUGAGCCCUUGAACAAAUGUAUGUUCCAAAUGUUUGUGUGAUUUAUUGCUGGUCGGAAGUCUGUAUCAUAUUUUGCUACGGGUUGCGUCCUCUGCGUGUGAAGGCCGUCUCUCAGUGAUCAUAUUCACAAUUGCUGUCAGAUAUUAUUUUUGUCUUGUCAACUCAUCACCUUCAUCUAUCUGAGGAUGUGACUAUGAUGAUAAAUGUUUUGAGAAGGAACAUGUCAAUAUUGAAUAUAGUGUAUAUUUUUAAAUGCACAUUUUUUAUUUUUAAAUUUUUAAUGUAUUAGAUGUAUUAGAAAUAAAUAUCUUGUACAACUGUUCUAUAAUGCUGGGUGUUACAUGAGCAUUAAUUAGGACACCAUCCCUUAAAACGUUUUUUUGUUUCUCGUUAUUUAAAAUGAGAAAAAUUAGUGCAAUGACUAUUUUUCCUUUUGUGUUGUUAGAAUGCAAAUUUAUGUUCACUUGUUAUAGAUAUAUGUGUAGACCUGCCAGUGUAAGUGUACAGAGUUAACUGCACUUGUGUACAAAAAUAAUUUUAAUAAGGAAAAAUAGCCAGACCAGAAAUGAGAAAUUUUUGUGGGCCCAAGCACCAUUAUGACCUUUGCUUGUAAUUGUGUCGGUGCGUGAAGGACUGCGAUCUUCAUAGUGAGUCGUAUAGGUAACGUAGUUGAUGCUAGCUGCCAUUGUCCCUAGAGGCCUUCUGAUGGGCUCGCAGGACCGAGGCAAGUGUUCUUGUUUACAAUUAUUUUAUGAGACAUGAUCAGUGUAUGAGUGAGGAUAUCUGUUCUCUUUGCAUAAAUUAAAAUUACUCUGAUAUGA